AACGCGAAGAACCUUACCCAGACUUGACAUGUAGAGGACAGCGCCAGAAAUGGCGUCUCCCUUCGGGGCCUUUACACAGGUGCUGCAUGGCUGUCGUCAGCUCGUGCCGUGAGGUGUUUGGUUAAGUCCAGCAACGAGCGCAACCCUUAUUACUAGUUGCCAACACGUAAUGGUGGGAACUCUAGUGAGACUGCCUGGGUUAACCAGGAGGAAGGUGAGGAUGACGUCAAGUCCGCAUGGCCCUUACGUCUGGGGCUACACACGUGCUACAAUGGUCGGUACAGAGGGCAGCAGAGCCGCGAGGUGAAGCAAAUCCCAGAAAGCCGGCCUCAGUUCAGAUUGUAGUCUGCAACUCGACUACAUGAAGACGGAAUUGCUAGUAAUGGCGAGUCAGCAACAUCGCCGUGAAUACGUUCCCGGGCCUUGUACACACCGUAGUAC
rnacentral:rRNA from 1 species